rnacentral:rRNA from 1 species
UGGGGAAUCUUGCGCAAUGGGCGGAAGCCUGACGCAGCAACGCCGCGUGGGGGAUGACGGCCUUCGGGUUGUAAACCUCUUUCGCGAUCGACGAAGGUCCACUUUUUGUGGGUUGACGGUAGGUCGAGAAGAAGCACCGGCCAACUACGUGCCAGCAGCCGCGGUAAUACGUAGGGUGCGAGCGUUGUCCGGAAUUAUUGGGCGUAAAGAGCUCGUAGGCGGUGUGUCGCGUCGGCCGUGAAAACCUGGGGCUCAACUCUGGGCGUGCGGUCGAUACGGGCAUCACUUGAGUUCGGCAGGGGAGACUGGAAUUCCUGGUGUAGCGGUGAAAUGCGCAGAUAUCAGGAGGAACACCGGUGGCGAAGGCGGGUCUCUGGGCCGAUACUGACGCUGAGGAGCGAAAGCAUGGGUAGCGAACA